UACGGAGGGUGCAAGCGUUAUCCGGAUUCACUGGGUUUAAAGGGUGCGUAGGAAGGCAGGUAAGUCAGUGGUGAAAUCCCCGAGCUUAACUUGGGAACUGCCGUUGAUACUAUCUGUCUUGAAUACCGUGGAGGUGAGCGGAAUAUGUCAUGUAGCGGUGAAAUGCUUAGAUAUGACAUAGAACACCAAUUGCGAAGGCAGCUCGCUACACGAAUAUUGACUCUGAGGCACGAAAGCGUGGGGAUCAAACAGG
rnacentral:rRNA from 1 species